rnacentral:rRNA from 1 species
AUGAACGUUGGCGGCGUGGAUUAGGCAUGCAAGUCGAGCGGUAAGGCCCCGCAAGGGGCACACGAGCGGCGUAAGGGACAGUAAAGUGUAGGUACGUACCCCCGGGACUGGGAUAGCUGCGGGAAACUGCAAUUAAUACCAGAUGACGUCUCCGGACCAAAGGUGUGAUUCCGCCAGGGGAGCGGCCUACAUCCUAUUAGCUAGUUGGCGGGGUAACGGCCCACCAAGGCUUAGAUGGGUAGCAGGUGUGAGAGCACGACCUGCGUCACUGGGACUGAGACACUGCCCAGACACCUACGGGUGGCUGCAGUCGAGAAUCUUCGGCAAUGAGCGCAAGCUUGACCGAGCGACGCCGCGUGCGGGAUGAAGGCCUUCGGGUUGUAAACCGCUGUCAGAGGGGACGAAAUGCUGGUGGGUUCUCCCAUCAGUUUGACUGAUCCUCAAAGGAAGGGUGGGCUAAGUUCGU